ACACCCCCAGCCCAGCCCAGUGCCAAGUCCUUGGAGGAGAGGGGUAGAAAGCGACAGAGAGAGUUUGGAGAAGGGGGAAGUGUCAGCCGCUCAAGCAACAAAAGUGGACGCGCAAGUUUCCUUCUCUGAGCUUCCCAAACCACCUCGGGACUCUUAAGAUAACCACAUGAAUAUCAGUCCCAACACACAAACCCCCCUUGCAAACAGGCACAAAAUACGUCUCUCCCUUUGCAAGAUAACUAGGAGAUAAGGGGCGGGUAGAUAAGGCUUCCAGGCAAAGGGAUCAGAAGUCUGUCCAGAGCAACUCCUCGUGCACCAGCAGAACCCUCAGUGAGCCCGGAUCGUGUUUUAAAUCAAGAGUACAAGAAGAAACAAAAUCAUGCAACACUGAUCUCGGUUACAGCCAGUCAGACCGAAUAAGCUGCUAGGACCCAAGUUCUGCUUGGCUGGACUUCAGUGGAGCAGAUGCCAAAGGAUUUGACCCUGGUCGCUUUCUCUUCUUAGGAUUUCUACCUCCCCCAGACAUGGCUUAUUGUAUCAUCAACUCAGAGAGAAAUAUCUCCCAAGGUUGGAGGGGAUUAAGGCUACACAACCGCUGGAGACCUGUACAGACACAGCUCAUCCCCCGCUCCUGCCUUUUAUGAUUUUCAUCCCAUUCCCAUAUGGUACAUUGUGCCAUUGUUGACUUCAGUGACUUUUGUAUAAAUGUUAAUACUGAUGGUCUGAUAUACCUUGGUUAUCUGCAGUGCUAGAAGCAGAAGCAGCUCCUGUAACGUAGGUUGUCGAAGAUGAGGAGCAGAGCACUGUCUCUGGUAGGAGUGGAAUGAACAUUACAGAACAGAUCUAAAUGUUUGAAAAGACCCUUAAAUUAACUUGUCAUUCUUCUGUGAUUUUAAAUUUAACCUCAUUUCAUUUUUGCAUGAUAUUUUCUUGUUCAAGUGAAAAAGUAAGACAGUUUAUCUUGCUUCCUGGGACUAUGUAUUAUUUUUUACUGAGUCUAAUAGCAGUAUGCCUUGAACCUAGCAAGUCUAUUGUCUUGUGAUCUCUAUUAAUAAUGUGUGGUGGAUUGUUAUGACUUCUGGUUUUGUCUCUGUGAAUAGUUAACACACAGUAUUUUCUUUGUAUUUUGGUGGUGGGAGCUUUGGGGAUUUUUUUAAUUUCAUAUUUACUUCUUUGCUUUUAUGGACUUUCUACUUGCAUCUAUUUGCUACCUUCCACAAAUUUUAUAUAUAUAGAAGGGGAAAAUUCUGACACUCAGGUCUUGGUGGGGGUAAAAAUAUGCUUAUCUCCUUCAAGACCUAAUUCUGAAUUUCUUCUAUCUGGGUACCUCAUGAUCUUUAACAUAUUUAUUCUCAUAAUGCCCCGAGGAGAUAGCACUUCCUUAUUAUCCCCAUUUUUAAAAUGGGGAACUGAAGCACAGUAAGGGAUUUGCCCAAGUUUACACAGGAAGUCUGUGACAGAGCAGGGAAUUGUAUGUUGGUCUCCCCAGCCCAAGGCUAUCACUCUACCCACUGGACAAUCCUUUCUUUCAUUCUUCCUUGAGCAUCCAAAACUCCCAUUGAUUCCAGGCCACUGGAAUACUGGGCAGUAGCUAACUUUGGUACAGCCUAGUAGUUUGUUUCUCUUUGUAAACUAGAGAAGAACCAUCUCAUAGGGCCCAAUCCUACAUCCACAGAAGUCAAUGGCAAAACUCCCACUGACUCCAAUGCUGCAGGAUCAGCCCCAUAGUGACCUUAAAUAUAAUGAAACUCCAUUAGCAAUGAAGUAGAAUGAACAUCCAAAACUGGUUACCUGCAUUGCAAUCUACAAACCACUAAUCUAUGAACUUCAAAUUAGAGAAAAAGUCUUCUAUGAAAUAAAUGACUUCACAAUUAGACCGUUCCACAGUAGUAUUAUUUACAAUUAAAACAGAAAACGAUGACUUGCCCUCACCAUCUGAUUUAUCCCACACGGAUUUUAUUUCUGUUAGUUCCCCAUACAACCUGUUUAUUAAUUAUUAGUGGAGAAGAUUUUAAUUCAGUCUUAAUCACUUUACUAGAUAAAAGCCCCAGUAGUGAUAUCAAAGACACAUAAAAUACUAAAGCUAUUACAGCCCAUUGCAAUCCUUAUCAAAAUGAUCAACUUAUAAAGGGUGUUACAUCCAGUACAGUGAGAUUAUAUUCUUCCCCCAUUCUCACAAAUCAUUCUCUAGAACAGGUUCUUUAUUAUUAUUCUUGUAAUAGAAGCAGAUACCAAAAACCCAGUAAAUGCCAAUCACACCUUAAUUAUCCUUAUUGCCAAACUAAUAGUUUUCUCCAAGCAAAAAGGUCACGCAGAUAUCAUGCCCACUCCACCCCCUCUUUUUUAAACACUUCUAAUAAGGAAUAUUUUCAGGACAAGUGGAAACAAUUUACUGUAAUUAUUAUACCUCACUAAGAAAAAAUAGUUUCUGUGUAGAAAUGGCUAAAGAAUCAUUACAGGAGCUUUUAUUUCCUAUUUUUCUGCUAGGAAAAAAAUAAAUUAGUAUAGCAGGUUGAACAUUUUCCAAUGUAAUGUUUUUCCCAUUGGAAAACGCCAAUUUGUCAAAAUCUAAAGAUCCAGCAGGGACAUAACCAUUUCCACAAAAUUAUGCUUUUGUGGGAGGGGAAGCCCAAAAUGAAGCAUUUUGAAGCAGAAACAUUAUGUCAAAAUUUUCAGAAUAAAACACUUCAGUGUUUCAUUUCAAAACAACUUAUCAAUUAUAAAUGCAUUUUACAUGAUCAAAUAUACUGUACAAUUAAAAAGUCAAAAUCAAAAAUAAAUGUUUAGAUUUUAUUAAAACAAAACAUUCUGAUUGAACAGAAACAAAAAAAUUUGCAAAUUUUGUUUCACAGGAAAUUGGGACAUUUUGACUUUUUGUUCUAAUUUAGGAUGACAUGAAAUUUAAAAAUAUGGGAAUUUCCUACACAAUGGAAAUACUGAGUUUUGACCAGGUCUGGAAGUGAAAGACUUUCUGAAUCUGCAAUGAAAAAUCAAAACACUCAAAUCACAUAUUAAACACUCCAGAUUUAACAGUUCAGAAUAAUUGAUAUGGACCUCUUAAUAACUCUUACCUCUCAUUGCCAUGAAAAGAGUAACUCUUAUGUCAAAAAAUCCAGAUAUUGUGCACAGGCAACCAUGGCUGGGAAUCUGAUGGUCAGACUAAUUACUAUCUCACAACGAAGCUCUAAUUACAUGCCUAUAAUUUCUCUGAAUAAUAUAUUCAAUGCAUAUGCUUCAACUACUGUUAUAUAUUAAAUAUAUUCAGAAGAUUAAAUCAAGCCUUUAAGACAUGAAUAUGGGCUGAGAAAAAAAAUAGGAUAUUCCUACAAAGGCUGCAAUUUCUAUUGUAUGUAUGCUGGUUUGACUUUCUGGACAUUAGACUAUGAAAAAUGUGGCUCAUCUCACCUGAUUGGCUUCAAUUUUAAAACAAAUUCAGCUGCCUCCUUCUUGAAUUGGCUAGUGAAACUUUCUUCUCUUUCCUUUCCUGCAAUACAAGUUCAUCUUUGCCCUCAUUAGUAAAAUACUUCUGUGUUCCUAUAAAGACCUGGCAAUUAGCCCAGGAAAUGCUGAAUGUGCCAUCUGGUUACCCUCUCUUAUGAGCCCAAACCAGGGAAAUCCAGAUUUAAUUUCAGGUAUCACUGAUGUAAACUGUAAUACUGGAAAAACAUUGGGAUUUUGUGUUUAACUGAUGUACUGGGUCCAAUUAGCAUAUUUCUCUCGUUUUAGCAACACAUUUACAAAAAAUUCCUCAUUUGUAGCAAUAGUCAAAUACAAUAACAAAAACAUAGAAAUGUUUGUGAAUACAAGUGCUGAGUUCAGAUCAUUAGGAUUCUGAUAGUGAAACCUCUUUACAGCACAGACUGUGGCUUCCUGUGUGUCUGUACAGCACCCAGAGUAGGGCCUUGAUUCUGAUUGGGGUGUAUGGGUAUUUCCGUAAUACACACAAGUAAAUAAAAAAAUUUUGUGGGUAUUUGUACAACUGCUGGGUAUUCAUCAAAAUGUUUGCAAAUCUUGAACCCGGUUAACUUAAUCAUAAAUUAAUUCCAGAAGUGUGUUAUUUGUUGUACACUAUCCUCCUGUUUCAGUCAUCCAUUAAGAGAGCAAAAACGAUACCGUGUGACUUUGGUGAGCCAUCACGCCACAUGAGUUAGUAGCAGUUUUCUAACUACUAUGGACUGAAAACAAUUCACCCAGACUAUUCAAUAAAUACUUAUGAGUAAUGAAUACAUUUGAGGAAAAUCAGGAUUGAUUCACUAAUGAUUCAGUAACAAAACAAGGGACUCAAUUUGUAAUGAAUAAUUAUUCACAGCAAAUAGUUUGACCAGCACUACUUAUUUGCGUGCAUAUACAGUUAAAACAUUUUUUCUUAAUGACGAUACAAAAAUUAACAAUUUAGUUUAUUUGCCAUCAAUUUAAUAGGUUUCUAGUGGGACCUCUAUCUGAUCUUGAUAAAAAAUUCUUAUAUUGCCACUAUCCCUGAAUGGAAAAAGGUGAAGACCAACUGGGAGCAGGACACUGGUAAAAAAAUAUACAUAGAAAACUAUAAUCGUGGAGUCUCCUGGGUUUCCAGUAGUUGAGAAUCUGGGGACCAAUGUGGUUAAAAUCUUGGGACCUGAGUCAUUGCUCUGUUACACCAGAUGCCACUGAAUUGGCAUACACCUGAUAGAGUGGAGCUGCAAAUCAAGCCUAUAUUUUUAUUUUUUCCCAAUUCCAGAAACAGGCCAUUUAGCAAGUUACAGGAAUCUGGGUAGCAACAAAAAGGGUGCAGAGGGGUUGAUUUCUAGGAGCCACAGGGCUCCUGAGAGAGAUUAAAAAUAAGUCUCACUCCUUUGCUUUGUAAACUCUGCUUUUGCCCGAGUCUGUUUUUCUCCUGCUUUUGACAGCUCUGAUUUUCUUUCUGUGUGAUUUACGGAGUGCUGUCAUUUUUCUGCUCUUUACUUUCACAAUCACACAUUCAAACCUGAUAAAGUUCAAGACCCCAAAUGCUUCUGCUCUCCUAGAUUUACAGGGUCUCAGCCUCACUGCAUCCCGAGCAGCAACAAAUCUGAUUGAAUCCUCAUGGACUCUGCAAGGAGGAGUUAGCAGAGGUAAACUCAAAGUCCUGAGAGAGACAGAAAAGGUAGUUUCCAUCCAAGCAAUUAACAUCCACAUCAAGACAGUCAUUCACAACUAAGAUCUCACAGGUGAAUCACCUCUUCUGAAUCACCUCAGAACGCAACUGUUAACUUCCUCUCAGUGUUCGUGGUUUCAUUUACAUAGCUUUGUAUUGUAGUUAAAUAGUACAUAUGUUUCUGUGCAUGUAAACAUAUGUAUUAUAGGCAGAUUGGUACAUGAAUACAGUAAUAGCCAUUUAAUUCAUUCAAUCAGUGCCAAUUUUUAUCCUUUUAAUUUAAUCAAGCUGCAAGCACAAACAGUUUGUAAUACAAAUAGUUUCCAUUCUUUAUAUUUAUCUGUUUUGGCAGGUGUUAUUAUGUUGCCUUAUCACUAGUAAUAAUGAAUUGUCUUUUUAUUAAUAAGGAACACCAGCAUUUUGAAUAAGAAAAGAGCCUAUGGAAGGCCUUGAAGAUAACAUAUGGUUACAAUUAACAACAUAUUAUUCCAAUGUUACUAACAUGUUAAGAGCUGUCAUAUGCAAUUGAAUAUCUGGGAUAAUUAUUUCAAUUAAAAUGAUAUAGACUAGACUGAAAUAGAAGGCAGUGCUAUAUUCAAAUUUAUCAGAAUAUGUUGAAUUUUUAUCUUUAAGCACUUCUUAUUCUGGCAAAACUCCCAUUAACCUUAAUGGGCUUUAUGCCAACAUAUAAAUAUCAGGAUCUAGCCUAUAAAUAGCAAGCGAGAUGGAAAUAACUUCAACAUAUAUUAUUUCCAGUAUUGUUCAUAUAAAUAGAUUUAUGCAACACUUUUCUCUGCACUAGGUUUUUAAACAAACAGACUGGUAAGCCAGACUUCAGGCAGACACAUUCAAGGACAAUUAUUUCCAGAAAGAAUGAUGCUGACAAACCAGCCAAUUGUACAGAUGCUGUGAAUACAAGAAACCAGGAGUUUUGCAGAUGAUAUUUUUAAAUAAUGAUCAAGAAACUAUAUGCUUGUCUAAUUUCAGAAACUUGCCUGUAUACUCCAUGAAUACCUA